rnacentral:rRNA from 1 species
UACGUAGGGCGCAAGCGUUAUCCGGAAUUAUUGGCGUAAGAGCUCGUAGGCGGUUGUCGCGUCUGCCGUGAAAGUCCGGGCCAACUCGAUCUGCGGUGGUACGGCAGACUAGAGUGAUGUAGGGAGACUGAAUCUGUGUAGCGUGAAAUGCGCAGAUAUCAGAGACACGUGCGAAGCGGUCUCUGCAGUACUGACGCUGAGAGCGAAGCGUGGGGAGCGAACAG